GGGCCCGCACAAGCGGUGGAGCAUGUGGUUUAAUUCGAUGCAACGCGAAGAACCUUACCAAUCCUUGACAUCCACGGAAUCCUUUAGAAAUAGAGGAGUGCCUUCGGGAACCGUGAGACAGGUGCUGCAUGGCUGUCGUCAGCUCGUGUUGUGAAAUGUUGGGUUAAGUCCCGUAACGAGCGCAACCCUUAUCCUUAGUUGCUACCAUUAAGUUGAGGACUCUAAGGAGACUGCCGGUGACAAACCGGAGGAAGGUGGGGACGACGUCAAGUCAUCAUGGCCCUUACGGAUUGGGCUACACACGUGCUACAAUGGGGUAUACAGAGGGUUGCGAAGCCGCGAGGUGGAGCGAAUCCCAGAAAGUACCUCGUAGUCCGGAUUGGAGUCUGCAACUCGACUCCAUGAAGUCGGAAUC
rnacentral:rRNA from 1 species